rnacentral:misc_RNA from 1 species
AAGAGGUCCUUCCCAAUUUUGAGUGCGCUUCUGGUGUUGUCUAACCUCAGUUUACACAUCCAUAUAAGUUUUACGGGGAUACUAAAUUCAGACUUAACGGCGUAGAGUCAGCUUCUUUUUGCAAUAUCCGAUUGGUUCGACAAACAUCCAAAAUUUAAGAAUAUCAAUUUUUCCAAUUGCGGUGCACCUCGCCAGGAACCGUCACACACUUCGAGUGUAUAUCUGCCAUGAACUGUGAACUGUAAGAUUGAGUAUUUUCAAAAAAGUCUGUGGUUGCAGAGAAUCUCUUUGGUUAAGAAAGAAUGGAGGAGGUGGAGUAGGUGCUACGUGAAGGCUAUCGCCUGGCCUCAACAUAAGUGUCAUACAUCAGACAAUUCAUUCUUACUCUAUUGUGCUUUGGGCAGUUGCACCGCGCCAAGCAAAAUUUAAAACAUGGACUCUCCAUAAAGGGAGCGCGAAGAACUAUUCCAUUUGGCUGGACUCGGAAGAUUACUCAACCCAAAUCCAUACGACAUUGUAGCGGGGUCCGCUGUGAGAUAAAUGGUGUCAGGUGAACUUUCUGCAAGAACCCUCAUACCCCAUUCGCAUGGGAGGAGUGGACAACAGAAAAGCUACUGCAUACCUUUUGACUUCCAGGGCCUUAGUGUAUCACCAGUUUAGUACGCGAAAUGUGAAAGUUGCGAAAUGUUCGAUGAAAUGUAGUUUAUAUGAGGGCGGAAUGUUAAGUAAUACGGACUGCCUUAAUGACAUGCGCGACCGCUAAAUUCUAUUCAGCAUUCAUUAGGGUUAAUCACUCAAUUCUCAUCCACAAACUAGUACUUCUUGGGUUUCAAGCAAGAUUUUCCUAUGGGUUUCCACGUUUCUCUGUAAUAGAAUGACAGACACUUAAUUAUCGUCUCAUCAGGAACCUCUCUCUCAAGGUACUCAUAUCGGUCUGUUUCUCUUUCAGUUCUUUAUAAAUGAUAUAUCUGCCGUAGCUUCUUAUAUGCCAAUGAUGUAAAAGUUUUUAUAUCAUAUACCUCAUUCGACGAAUUGUUUUUAUUACAAAACGAUCUAGACAUAGCAAGAACAUGCCAUUGAACCUUCAGAAAUGUAAAAAGGAUGUGGUUUUCUGCCCUGUUCACACUUCUCCUUAUACAAUGAAUAAGUUCGAGUAGAGUCUAGAACAAGUGUACGACUUUGUUGUGCUUUGUGAUGGAACCUGAGCUCAACUUCCAUCUUUAUACCAAUACCACAGUCUUUAAAGCCAAAGAUGUCAAAAGAUUGUCAAAAGAAUUUAAAGACCCUUUUGUAACUAAGGCACUUUAUACGACUUUGGUGAGGCCAACACUAGAAUAUGGUUCACUGAUAUAAUACCCCAAUUAUCAACUUCAUUCCGAUAGGUUAGAGUCUGUUCAAAAACAAUUUUUACUUUUUGCAUUGAGACACUUCCGAUGGAACUUCGGCUCCCUAUACCGACCGUUUAAAGCUGCUAAAACUCCCUACCCUCGCAAGUCGAAGAGAAAUGUGAGGCCCACAGUUCGUAGUGAAAUUUCCUAACGGAUCAAUUUGUAGUUCAUGGGCCUUGUCUGAGGUAAAGUUCAAUGUUCCAACUCGUGUAUCGAGGCAGUUUAUGAAUUGAAUCAACCCUUUCGCCGAAUAUGUCACAAUUUUAAUUGCCAUUCUAACACCUUCGACAUCUCAGACUCACUUUUGAACAUCAAAAAAACUUCUCUCAACAACUAAAUUUCGAAAUUCUUUAAUUACUGAACUUUAGCUGUUGAAUAUUAACUGGGCUUAUUCCGUUUUUUAUGUGGUUGUCGCCUCUCGUAUCAGUUGGAUGGGCGCUCUACUGCUUUUGCGAACAUAAAUUUUUGCUUUGCAGAUUCGAGCUCCAGAAGGAUGAUCUUUGAAUUCGUUAGAUAAACUUGUAGUUCCAAUCUAUGAGUUUAUUCGCCAGCCUGGAAUUGAUAAAGAAAUUGGAAACUUGGCAGCAAAGGAAAAAGAAAAAGGAAUAAUAAUUAUGAUAAUUCAAAGACGUGAAUUAAGAAAAAAACUGAGACCUUGUAGAACCAGCUCUUGAGUUGGUUUCAUCAAGCGUGAAAUUGGAAUACGCACUACCAAUGAUGGCAACACAUAUUUUCCUGUUGUACCUCGGAACGUUAUGGUCCCUAUUCUCCGACUCUAAAGCAGAUAUACCCAACUGCGCCUUCGAGGACACCGUCAACUUAACUGCGCGCGAAAAAUUUACCAACGGUUCAUACAUCUACGAAGGUUUAUUGGUGCCACCGCAAUACAUCGGUGAAUAUGACUACAUCGAACUCUUCGAAGGUGCGCGCCAGAAGGUGGAGAAACACACACGGGGCUGUGUUUGUAAGCUGAAGCAGUGUGUAAGGUUCUGCUGCCAUCCUAGAGCGGAUAUGUUUCAGAGCAGCGAACACGCUUCACCACAAUGCGACAAUGAGCAACUCAGUGACGAACCCAAAUAUACGCCAUUUGUUAAUGUGACAUUGCGUAACAAUUCGCGGGUUUCAAUGCAUUUACUGGAGGAAUUUGUGGUGCAACAGGGAACACCAUGCGCGGAUGUAUAUCCGUUGAUGCCGCAUGUGUACGAAGAGGAUAAGUGGGAGUUGUUCGAGAAUGGCACUUUACUGCGUGACAGGGAUUACCUUUCUAGACGUGAUUAUUGCUUCCAAGCGUAUAAUUUUAGCGGAGAGUUUGUCUUGAACCCCAUGAACUGUCCGAGUAUGUAUAGCGAGCCACCAACCAUGAUGCUCAAUACGAAAAUUAUGAUGAUUUCAGCACCAUUUCUAUUUGCGACUAUACUGAUCUAUUGGCUCAUACCGGAACUGUGGAACUUACAUACCAAAUGCUUAAUCAGCUAUCUGCUUUCCUUGGCUGUUGGCACCUCUAUGAUUGUAGUUGUCAAUGUGCAAAACUCCGAUUUCGAGGAUCUUAAUUGUUCUAUCAUAGGCUUCAUCACAUAUUUCUUUUUGACCGCUGUCUUCUUCUGGCUUAACGUGAUCUGUUUCGAUCUUUGGCAUAAUUUCCGUCGCGCCAAAGGUGGCGCCCAACAUUUGUCCCAACGCAAACGAUUCCUCUGCUACUCCCUCUACGCCUGGGGUUUGCCGACCAUAAUGACCAUUGUGACCGCAUCUCUACAAAACUCAAAACUACCGCACGCACUCAAGUCGGGCAUUGGAGACACACAUUGCUGGUUGAAGGUUGAUGACUGGUCUGCUUUGCUUUAUUUUUAUGGACCCUGCUUACUGCUUAUCAUAUUUAAUAUUUCCAUAUUUGUACUGACCGCCAAGAAGAUUUAUAGCAUUCGCAAGGAGCUGCAGCAUUUCUCACGCGGCGAGGACAGCCGUCGUCAUUUGCACUCGCACCAAAAUAAUGUCUGGCUCUUCUUUCGCAUGUUCAUUGUCAUGGGUGUCGGUUGGCUACUGGAGAUAAUCAGCUAUAUGUUUGGUAAUUACAAUAAAUUGGCAUUUUUCUUUGCCGCCACAGACGUUUACAAUGCCUCGCAGGGUAUAAUCAUUUUCAUUUUGUUGGUUAUGAAGAAAAAGGUGUUGUUGCUGAUAAAGAAAAGACUGUGCAAAACGGACAAGAAACAGCAGUUUUCUAGUAGACGAUAUGCCAAGUCCAGUACAUCGGCAGUGGAAUUAUUUGAUUCCUUUCUGCUGCACUUUCCAUUCCCACACCCUUUGAACAUAUUUCGAGCCCCGGUGAAGUAGAUCGAUUGCGAGAAGCUCAUCCACCGGAGAGAAGGCCAGUACUCAACCACGGAUUCUCUCCUUCACCAGGAAUGCAACACCAGAUUUGUCGCACUUGUUGGACACCGAUGAUGUCAGCCUUAAUUCUAUUGAGAACCAGCACCAGCUGGACAGUGGGACCUUUCUUCGAAUCGAGAUGGCUUAUACAUUUGCAUUGGCCGUCAUCGAAAGGGGGAUUUCUCUCAUCCGAGGCUUUUUGCAUUUUUUCAUUGGAGUCUAUAUUUCAUGUGGUGGCUCAUAUACCCUACGCGCAACCGCACGGCUUUUGCCUUCUCACUUCAGCUCGCAUCCAAAUGUAUGAGAACACUUGGUCUAGGAACGGAAGUCGUGAGCUGAUUGAACUCCCAGGUGGAUGGCAGUAAAAAUCUUUCCAGAUGGCCACAUCCUUCUCUAAGAAUGUCCAAUGCUGAAUAUCGUUGGAAACCUCGGAACUAAGGAUCUUCAGGAUAUAUAUAUUCAUAAUAUAUACAUAUAUAUUUAUAGCAAUUGAGCAUUGACAUAAUUACGUUAUUAUCAUCAGCCAACUCGUAGUUUCAAAAUGUUAGGUCUAGUAAAAAAUAGUCCAUUAUUUUUGUAUACAAUAAUUAUUAUUAUUCCGAUUUAUAUCAAAUAUGAAACGUUUUGCCAUUUGGAAGGUAAUGCCAUUAUGCCUCUCUCAUAGAAACCCUUGUCCCUAUUGGAAAACAAAUUGGAACAAUCGAUUUCUAUAUACUUCAAUUGGGUCCAAAUUUUCAUCAGUCUAAUCAAUCCCAAUCGAAAGAAGUAGAUGUUCAUCACCUGGUACGAAGUACACGUACGGACUAUGCGGUUGAUGCAUAAGAAUUCCCCAGGUAUAGUCUUGAGCCUUCUGGCAAGUCACUAUCGAUGUAUAUGGUCCGGCGUUGUCCUGAUGAAAAAUAAUUUCCCUUCCGUUGGCCAAAGCUAGGCGCUGCUCAUAGUGCAGUUCCAAAUUUGGGCGUAAGGAAGCAAUUUAUACUUAAUGAUUCCUUGCAAAUCCCAUCGGAAGCAGAACAAAAUCCAGCGGACCAUCAAUCAUGAUCGCGAGAUUCAGAUCACUAAAGCCAUCUAUUGCAAAAAUAGUGGAUUACUUUUUACUAGACUAAUAUAUUGUAUUUGCUGUACUUCUCAACACAAACUUAAAAUCAUAUUUAAGCGGUUUUGUCGCUUAGUAUUCUAUAAACCAAAUAGUAUUUUAAGAAAAAACAUCGAACUUAAAGACUGUACCCAGUAUGUGCCAUAUUAGUAUGUAGCCAAAUAAUGAUUCAAAAAUACAAUCCAUA